GAUGAAGAACGCAGCGAAAUGCGAAAAGUAGUGUGAAUUGCAGAAUUCAGUGAAUCAUCGAAUCUUUGAACGCACAUUGCGCCCGCCAGUAUUCUGGCGGGCAUGCCUGUUCGAGCGUCAUUACAACCCUCAGGCCCCCGGGCCUGGCGUUGGGGAUCGGCGGAAGCCCCCUGUGGGCACACGCCGUCCCUCAAAUACAGUGGCGGUCCCGCCGCAGCUUCCAUUGCGUAGUAGCUAACACCUCGCAACUGGAGAGCGGCGCGGCCAUGCCGUAAAACACCCAACUUCUGAAUGUUGACCUCGAAUCAGGUAGGAAUACCCGCUGAACUUAAGCAUAUCAAUAAGCGGAGGA
rnacentral:misc_RNA from 1 species